rnacentral:tRNA from 1 species
GUUGGGGUGGCAGAGCCCGGCAAGAAUGCAAAAGGCCUAAGCCCUUUGUACAGGGGUUCAAAUCCCCUCCCUAACU